GAGUUUGAUCCUGGCUCAGGAUGAACGCUGGCGGUCUGCUUAACACAUGCAAGUCGAACGGAGUAGAAAUACUUAGUGGCGGACGGGUGAGUAACGCGUGAGAAUCUGCCUUCAGGACGGAGACAACAGUUGGAAACGACUGCUAAGCCCCGAUGAACCGAAAGGGAAAAUAUUUAUAGCCUGAAGAUGAGCUCGCGUCCGAUUAGCUAGUUGGCGGAGUAAUAGCCCACCGGGGGGACUAUCGGCCCGACCGUCGGAGAGGACGAUCAGCCACACUGGGACUGAGACAGGGCCCAUGCUCCUACGGCAGGCAUCAGUGGGGAAGUUUCCGCAAUGGGGGUUAGCUUGACGGACUGAGAGAA
rnacentral:rRNA from 1 species